rnacentral:rRNA from 1 species
GACGAACGCUGGCGGCGUGCUUAACACAUGCAAGUCGAACGGAAAGGCCCUGCUUUUGUGGGGUGCUCGAGUGGCGAACGGGUGAGUAACACGUGAGUAACCUGCCCUUGACUUUGGGAUAACUUCACGAAACUGGGGCUAAUACCGGAUAGGAGCUCCUGCUGCAUGGUGGGGGUUGGAAAGUUUCGGCGGUUGGGGAUGGACUCGCGGCUUAUCAGCUUGUUGGUGGGGUAGUGGCUUACCAAGGCUUUGACGGGUAGCCGGCCUGAGAGGGUGACCGGCCACAUUGGGACUGCGAGACGGCGCAGACUCCUACGGGAGGCAGCAGUGGGGAAUCUUGCACAAUGGGCGGAAGCCUGAUGCAGCAACGCCGCGUGCGUGAUGCCGGCCUUCGGGUUGUAAACCGCUUUCGCCUGUGACGAAGCGUGAGUGACGGUAAUGGGUAAAGAAGCACCGGCUAACUACGUG